AACGAACGCUGGCGGCAGGCUUAACACAUGCAAGUCGAACGCACCGCAAGGUGAGUGGCAGACGGGUGAGUAACACGUGGGGAUCUGCCCAAUGGUACGGAAUAGCUCCGGGAAACUGGAAUUAAUACCGUAUGAGCCCGCAAGGGGAAAGAUUCAUCGCCAUUGGAUGAACCCGCGGCGGAUUAGCUAGUUGGUGUGGUAAAGGCGCACCAAGGCGACGAUCCGUAGCUGGUCUGAGAGGAUGAUCAGCCACACUGGGACUGAGACACGGCCCAGACUCCUACGGGAGGCAGCAGUGGGGAAUAUUGGACAAUGGGCGCAAGCCUGAUCCAGCCAUGCCGCGUGAGUGAUGAAGGCCUUAGGGUUGUAAAGCUCUUUCGCCGACGAAGAUAAUGGCGGUAGUCGGAGAAGAAGCCCCGGCUAACUUCGUGCCAGCCGCCGCUGUAACAC
rnacentral:rRNA from 1 species